AUGCUGUACUGAACACUCAGUCUGCAGCCAAGCUAUUCGUUUGCAUUUAGGCUAUUAUCCACUUCAUCAACAGGUGUAUGUCAAAUAAACGAACAUGGCAGAGCAGAAAAUUGAAGAUCAAGAGAUAGGCAACAAAAAAACACGGGAAGAAAGGACCUGAGCCCUAGGACCAUGCCUCAGGUCUACCUGGCAUGAUGACUCCUUGCUGUCCCCAGUCCACCUGGCCAUGCUGCUGCUCCAGUUUCAACUGUUCUGCCUGCGGCUACGGAACCCUGACCUGUUCACCGGACGUGCUUGUUGCACCCUCGACAACUACUAUGAUUAUUAUUAUUUGACCAUGCUGGUCAUUUAUGAACAUUUUAACAUCUUGACCAUGUUCCGUUAUAAUAUCCACC
rnacentral:lncRNA from 1 species